rnacentral:tRNA from 1 species
GGAUUGUGGCUCAGCGGUAGAGGGCUUGCCUAGCAUGUGUGGGGCUCUGGGUUCGAUCCUCAGCACCA